GGAAUUAUGCUAAAAUUAGACCUCCUCUACAUACAAUACAUAAGUGAAACGAGUCAGAAAGAGACGCAGAGUGACAGAGAUUGAGAAAAGGAGAGACAAAGAGAGCGAGGGAGGUAAGUUAAGAGAAGUUAGGAGUGAGAGUGAGAGAGAGAGAGAGAGAGAGACUGUUCGUGGGCAGACUGAAAUUAUGUACAGCAAAUUCAGAUUAGAAAGAAAUGAAAACCGAUAUUAACCGAUAAGAAUUGACCAUGUUCAUCGUUUACUAUCGAUCAACUGAUUUCGAUAAAUUGCCAUUUGCAACAUUUAUAGUUAAGUAUUUUGUUUUUGUUUGUUUUUUCGUUUUUCAUUUUUUUCCUCUGCAAAUAUACAAAUACAAAUAAAUACAUUUUCUUCGUGUUGCUGACUGUGUGCUCUAUACGUUUAUAUAUGUAUAUGUACUAUAUAUAUGCUUGCAUGUGUGUGUGUGUAUCAAUGCAUAUGUGUAUGUGUGUGUAUGUCGUCCUUUUAACAUUCAACAAUAGUUUUUUGUUUUUGUUUUGGGGCUUUAGCUACAUAUUUUCGUGUAUUCUUUCCAUCAACUUUUAGUUAUUUUUUUGGUUUUCAAUUUUGUUGUAAUAAAAAAAGUGGGUCGAAAAAUGAAUGCGGUAAAACUGGGAAAUGUUUAAACUUAAGAAACGUUUGACAUAGGGUCUCUAAUCUCUAAUUCAGUAAUACUCGUAAUACAGAUUCCUAUAUACAAAUUCUCCUUUUGUACACCAAACUGGUUGCUGAGAAAGCCACCAAGACGUGAAUGUAAGUGUCAAGUCAAAUCAAAUCAAAUUAAAUUAAACUUAAAUACUGAUAAAUUUCGAAAAUUUAAAGGCAUUUAGUUCCUUUAAACGAUCUUUGUUGUUUAUAUAUUUUAUUGUUUUAAAUAAUGGAACUGAAAUUGAAUUAAAUUCUGUUUUGAAUCUUCUUCUUUUUUCCUUUUCAUUUGUUAUUUACAGUCGCACUUUUUCGUUACUUCUUCCCGUUUCCCGUUUCCCGUUUCGUCUUUCGUUUUUGUCUUUAUAAAAAUUGUGUGUGUUUUGCGUUAAAAAUUUCGUACUGGUUAUAGAAAAAUAGGCCAAAAAUAUAUGUAUAUGUCUGUGUGUGUUUCAUUGUUGUUUCAUUACGUUCAGUUCACCUCAGAUUCUUGUCCGUUCAAAAAAGUGAUUAAAAUUGCGGUUUGAUUUGUUCGUUUUUUGUUCGUUUGUUGCUGCUGUAAUUGCUGUAAUCGUAAUUUUAGGUGUAGUUGCAGUUGCAGUUGUAGUUUAGUGCGGUUUUGCUGUUUUGUGCAUAAUUCCAAGGAUUACAUUUAAUAAUAUGCAAAUACGUUUGGUUUGGUUUGGUUUGGUUUGGUUUGUCAUCAUCUUUGAUUAGGUUAAUUUGUUCUUAGUUGUAUACACAUGUUGUUAUAGAAAUUGUUUAAGUUAUCCAUUAUUUGUUUAUUUUGUUAUUUUUAGAGGUGGGUUAUUUUGCAGUUAUUUAUUAAAAUCAAUUACCGAAUCAAUCAAUCGAAAGAAUAUACUAAUUAAGGUGUGGCCCAUAAUAUUCUUGGGUCUUAGACAACGAAGAUCGUUGUUGUAGUUGUGGUAGAAGGAGACGGAGACGGAGACGGAGAAGGAGGAGGACCAGGAACAGGGCCAGGGUUUUAGGAAGCGGAAAGAAAAUUAGAAACUUACUAUUAAACGUAUUCUCAAUUAGUAUUAUCGUCUUUUUUUUCUGCCAUUUACGUGUUAUACGUACUUUGUAUAAGAUAUGAAAUUUUAUUGCUCGCAAUUUCAUAUGUUAUUCCGUUUUUGUAUAAUUCUCAAUCAUAUUCCAUUUAGCCCUACAGCCAAAGUGUCCCCUAACAUAUAUUGCACAUAGUAUGUAUAUAUAAUUGGAAAUGAGGGUAAAGCGAAAAAGGAGAGCCUGAAGCAUAAAGAACUGGAUUAGUGUCGGCUUUUUAUAGCAAAGGCAUCCAUUAAAGCGUUAUAUCCACGAUGUCAACAAAUUGUAAUUGGAGUGGGGGGUAAACGUGUGCUGGGACAGUUUUCCCAGAUCCGAACUACACAUUUGUAUAUUGCAUCGAGUAAAAACGGCUUGGCAGGGCUCUGGGCUCUCUCAUUAGUAUGGGUUUAAUUUAGUGUUUUUUCAAUGCUGGAACUAGUAAACAUUAAAUUAAGAAUUUGCUUGAUUGUAUCUCUCAGUUGAUUGUUUUCCUGGAUUUGAUCAGAUCCCUCCUGCCAUUACCCUAAGUGGUUGCCAAUGGGUGUGGAAAUGUAUUGUGUACCUAUCGAAUGAAAGCGGGCAUCAAAAGGUGGCUGUGCAAUCUGAAUUCGUAUUUACGGGCUGGCUAAAAAGUUACAAGUCGUUGACAAAUUGACUGGCUUGUGUUUGUGUGUGUGUGUGUGUGUGUGUGUGUGUGUGUGUUUGGGAUUAGGCUUAUUAUCCUUUUGCUAUAAGUCCGUUGUUAUUUGAAUAUACUAUAAUUAUGUAAAUAAAUUUACUUAACUACAAUAGCUGCCGUUUCCGUGAGAGUUCUUUCAGGGGCUUGGUUGUGAAGGUUGGUGAAUGGUGGGCGAUACAUACAUAACUUUACAUGCAAAUCAGAAUCAGAAUAUGUGGGAGGGAGGAAAGGGUCUGGAUAAAGUCAUAUUUACAUGCAGGUGUCUGGAGUCUCGACCUCGACUGUAGGCAGUCGUAGGGGUACGAGUACACGUGUACAUACAUAUGUGUGUCAAAUGAAGCACGUAGCACGUAAAUAAUGGGGAAAAAAAUGAAAGGAAAACUAUACUCGUAUGUAUGUAGUUUGAAGCCUCAACUAUCAAUCAUAAUAGGUAUAAUCAAGUCAAGUCUUUUUGCUUAUGUAAAUGUUUUCUGCCUUCAUCCGAUCCGCUAGUUUGUAAAUGUUACUCGUAUGGUUAUUCCAUUCCUCUCUAAACAUGUUAGUUUCGCUGUUAUUGUAUUUGUAUAUAAGUACAUUAUUUAGCAUUCAUCGUUAUCUUCUUUAGUUAUCAGCAGUUAUCAGUUAUCAGUAAAACCUAUUUCAAUAUUUCCAUCAAUUGUAUAUUUGUUUGUAAUAAGUGUACAUAUGUAUGUAUAUACCAUAUAAUUAUUUAUAUAUCAUUUAUGUCUGUUCUUCUGUGUAUAUGUAUAUAUAAUUUCUCUCCUCUCCAGUUCUGCUUCUGCUUUCGCUUCUUCUCUUGCUUUUGCUUUUGCAUUUGCUUUUGCUUUUGCACGCUCUUUUAUUUGUUUGUAAUUUAAUUUUAAUUUUCUUUCCGCCUAUCCGCUUCGUUUUGAUUUAUUUUCUUGUUUGGUUUUUUUAUUUAACAUUUAAUCUUUAAUACACAUAUAAUUAAAUAAUUUACACGAAAUAUAUUCAUAUA
rnacentral:lncRNA from 1 species